UUGAGUGUAUAUUUUGCUAGGUAACUACUCUUAAAUGCGGUGGAGUUUGUCUUGGAAUAGCAACUCAUCAUACUUUGACUGAUGGCACAACGGCCUUACAUUUCAUUAAUAGUUGGUCUGAAAUGGCAAGAGGCUUGCCCGAGAUUAGCAUGCCACCACUUAUUGACCGAACCCUUCUCCGAGCAAGAGUGCCACCAAUCCCUAGAUUUCAUCAUCUCGAAUAUGACCGACCUCCUUCCUUAUACACCUCUACAUCACUUGGCCCUAAUAACCAUAAACCCUUAACUGUAUCUAUUUUCAAGAUCACACAAAAUCAACUUAAUACCCUAAAAGCCAAGUCAUGGGAACAUGGAAACAAAACCAAUUGCAGCACCUUCACCAUUCUAGCUGCAUACAUAUGGCACUGUGAAACUAAAGCUUGGGGCCUCUCAUAUGAUCAACCAACCAAGUUACACAUGCCAACUAAUGGACGCCCCAGACUACAUCCUCCCCUCCCAUCAAUGUACUUGGGCAACGCAAUGUUUGUAGCUUCAUUAAUUGCUCUAUCUGGAAAUCUCCAAUCAGAACCGUUUGUAAAUACCCUAGAACGAGUUCAUGGAACAUUGCAAAGGAUGAAUAAUGAGUAUCUAAGAUCAGCUCUUGACUACCUAGAAACACUGCCAGAUAUAACAAUUGCCAGGAGAACACCGGACACUUACCAUUGCCCAAACCUAAGUAUCAACAAAUGGACACAACUGUCUUUAUAUGAUGCAUAUUUUGGAUGGGGUCGACCAAUAUACAUGGGUCCAACAAACGUUGUCCAUGAAGGAAAAAUAUGUAUACUACCAAGUCCAACCGAUGAUGGGAGCUUGUCAUUGGUAACAUGCCUACAGACUGCUCAUAUGAAACUCUUCGAGAAACAUCUAUACGAAGGCUUGAAGUCAUUUGACAAGAUCAAAGCUCGAUAUUAGUUGUUUGUUCUCUCUAUCAAUAUAUGUAUAAACCUAUAAAUCUUCUACUUCUGUUUCUUUAACUAAGACUUUUUGUUUGGAUCCUGUUUAUUUGAAAUUUACCAUCUAAGUUGGCCUGGCAAACAGGUGUUUUAUUGGUAAUUAUUGUACUAUACCUCAAUAAUAGUAAUAGCAUUGAUCGCAAAGAAAUAAUAAAUUAAAAUAAGAAUACACAGAUUUUACGUGGAAAAGUCUUAUUAGAAAAAAAAUCACAGGCAGAGUAAAAAUUUACUAAUGUUGAAAAGCAACAAUACAAGAAGUUUUUUUACUACACACGUUUUAACGGUUAAAUAACAUUUUUAUAAUCAAUGUCUAAUAGAAGAUCGCUCCCACAUAUCCCCCAAAUUUGCAAUUCUAUUUUAUUUCUUUAACAAACAAGUUGCACCUCGAAUUUUUCUGACUGGAUCAAACGGGGUUCAAAUCAAACAGCUCUGACAACAACUCAAAUUAUUUUUCCAUAACCAUAUUAAAACAAAUACCGAAUAAUUGAAAUAUAUUCAAAAUUUUAAAUUAAAUUAAGUUUGGAUCAAACUCACUGAUGAUAUAUGAUUUACCUAAAGUGAAAUAAGAACUCGAAAAUAUAAAAUUUAUGGGUAAAUUUUCGUUUUGGUCACUUAAUUAAAAAAUUAUAAUUUGGUUAUUAAACUAUUCAAAAGUUUUAUUUUAAGUCAUUGGAUUGUUAAAAUUUAUAUUAUACGACUUUCUCUAUUCGCAGUGCAUGCAUCAAUUGAAAGCUCUCUUUUUCCUUCAUUUUUACAGUUCAUUUUCUAUUUUUAUGUAAAAACUUUGGACGUCAUAAAUCUGUAGACCAAAAUUUAAACAUUUUUUGCUCUGAUUUCCAACAUCGACCAUCAAAUCAAUUUAGAUCUAAGGUAUAUUUUUCUACUCAUUAAUGGAAUAAUGGGUAUCGAUCCAUCGUAUCGAUUGUUGACACCAUUUUUUGGAUGAAAACGGAGUCGACUUGGGUUUGAAAAUGAAAACGAAAAACAAGGUGUCGCGACCGAUCCUUUUUGAUGAGGUGUGAUCGGGUCACCUCGUAAAAGUGGUUGUUUUUAAUAAACGGUUUAAUUUUAUUAAAACAACGAGUUUGGUCCACGAAAUUUAGAAAAACAGGUUCGGGAGUCGGUUACGCACGAGGAAGGAUUAGCACCCUCGAUACGCCCAAAAUUGGUACCCAGUUGAUUACUUAAUGUCUUAAUGUCGAAAAUUGAAAACUUUGAAGAAUUUUAAAAAAUACGAUCCUUGUAUUAAAACGUUGAAAAUUUUCAAGAAAAUGAGGAUAUUUCACGUUAUUCGAGAAAGAGAAUCAUAUCCAGUAAGUUAGGACACAAUGUCUCGAAUUUCCGAUACGCGAAUGAAAAAUGCUUAUUUAAAAGAUAUUUAGCUAUCUCGGAUUUAAAAAAGAGAUCACGACCAGUAAGUUAGAACACGAUCUUUUUUAUUCCCGAGAUCAUUUAAAACUUAAGUUUGAAAAGAUUCGUGUAAUAAAGUUUAAAAGAAUAUUCAAUUGUUUAAAUCAAAUGAAGAAAUUGCAACCCAAUACGUUAGAGCACAAUUUCUCAAAAUAUUAAACACUGAAUAUUGCAUUUAUUUCGAAAAAUCCUCGUCUCGAGGAACCACGUGUCAUGUCCAAUGCAUUAGGACGCAACGUAUUCAAUUCUUGAUAACGAACUUUUUAUCAUUUUUUUAAAAGAGUAAUCUCGAUUAUUUAAGUUCAACGAAGAAAGUCGGAACCCAAUACGUUAGGGCUCGAUUCUCUCGAAGAUCCAAAAUAACGAAUAUUACUUAUUUCUAAAAUUUCUUUUUCGAAAUCUAAAUAAAAAUGGGUGUAAUGGAUUAACGAUGAUAAUAAUGUAAGUAAAAUAAUAAUAUGAGCAAUAGCAUCAAAGAUAAGAUAAAAUAAAAAAGGACAAAUCAAUAGCAUACAGAAUAAAUAUAUAAGCAAAUAAAGUUAAAGCAUUCGUUUAAAAUAAUAAUGAAAAUGUAAAUAAAGAGAUAAACAAAAAAUGAACAAAACUAUAUAAAAAAUAAAAGAUAUAUAUAUUAUAUGCAUAAAUACAUUUGUACAAAAAAAAGGAUAUGUAAGUUGAAAUAUAGAAAAAUAUACGUAAGAAAAAAAUAGGUUUUUAAAACAUAAAAAGUAUGUAUAAAUAUGUUUAUAUGUAAUAAAAACACGUAUGUAUAUAUGAAAUACAACAAUAAUAAAGUAUAAAUAUGUACAUUUAUAUAAAUGGAAAAAGUAGAUAUGUAUAUGUAUAUAUAUAUUAUAAAGCAUAAAAAUAAGUAUUUAUAUAAAUAAAAAUUCGUAUGUAUAUACAUAUAUAUUACAUAAAGAUAAAAGGUAUAAGUAUGUAUAUUAUAAAAUAAAACCGUGCAAGUAUGUACAUAUAUAGAUGAAUUAUAAAGUAAGUAAAAUAUGAGUAUGUAUAUAACAAAGUCUAAAACGGUAUAAAUAGGUAGAUCAAAUGCAAUAAUAAUAAUAAUAAUAAUAAAUUAAAUAAUAAAAAGGGCUAAAUUGAAAACAAAACAAAAUAAGAGAGGAAAAAAAUCAAAAAUGAAAAGAAGUCAAGGAUUAAUCCGUGACGCGCUUGAAAGGAGAGGGACCGAGGCUGCAAAUAAACCGAAGCCCCCAAAACGCAGCGCAGCAGUGGACUAAAUUGAAACAAAAAUAAAACUUUGUGGCCAAAUUAAAAAUAAAAGAAAAUGCGAAAAGGGGCCAAAUUGCGACACACUUCAAAGUCAGAGGGACUGCGUGCGCAAAUAUCCCCUUUAGCGAAAACACGCUGAUCCUCCCCUCGGGUCGGAUCACCGCGCGGGUCAAGGGAGCCUUAAACGUCGCCGUUUUGAAAUUCCUAUAAAAGCUAAUUUUUUUCUGCUAUUUCAUUUCUUAAAAAAAAACAUAAGAAAAAACAAAAGGGUCUUCCCCUUUCUCUGCUAGGGUUCCAAACUUGGAACCCCGCCGCCGUCUGCCGCAUCUCCAUCGCAGCGCCACCAAGGACGGUGGCCGGAGUCGUGCGAGAAAAAGGGAUUUUUAACCCUCAUCGUGUGGCAUCCUUGAGAUCUCAGAUCUCUCAACCCGCGGGAAAGAGGGAAACCCACAACCCCUCUCGGACCCGAAUCGGCGACGGAGGAGAAGCCCUCCGACGGCGCAACCACGGUGGUUCCCGGUGAGUCCCCUUUCCCUUUUUAUUUUCUAUUUAAUGUACGAAAUAAAGAAAAUAAAAUAAAUAAAUAAAGAAAUGCGAAUCUGAUAUCAAGCCUUGAAUCUAUUUUUUUGAUUGUUUUAUUUAUAUGAAAAUGUUACAAAAGAAAAGAAAAAGCCCCCCGAUUCAGUGAUGAAGCCCCCUCUUACAAUCAAAAUCCCUAUAUUCUACUGCUAUUGUGUCUUUUCUUUUGUAGGUGGAGCAGGUGAGGGCGUCGGUGGCAAGUGGGCAUGGUGAUGGGACGUAUGCGGCGGCCAGCAGAGCUAGGGUGCAGAGGGCUGCAGCGCUAGGGUUUCUUUUCUGAAACCCUAGCUUGACUUUUGGGGAAUUGGGCUCCGAAUUUGGGCCUCGGGUUUGGGUUAGGCUAGUUGGGUUUAUUGUAUUGGGUUGUAACUGGAAUUGGAUCAUUUGGGUUUGGGUGGUUUGGGCUGAGUCUGUUGGGUUAUUGGGCUGAUGUUUGUUAGUUUAGGGUUAAUUGGGCCCAGGCAUAAAAAUUGGGCUUGUACAAUAAAUAUAUAUUUUUUAUUUUUAUUUUUUAAUUUUAAAAUACGUUAAAAAUAUUUUUUUUUAUUUUUAAAAUAUUUUUUUUGUGUUUAUUAAAAAUCGGGCUGGGCCCGGGCUUAUUAUUUUUUUCUCGGGCCGGGCCUGGGAAAAAUUUCAGGCCCAUAUUUCGGGCCGGGCCGGGCCCGGGCCUAAGAGUCGGGCCAAAUUUUUUCCCGGGCCCGGCCCGAACCCGGCCCGGCCCAUGGACAGGUCUAGUGACAGUACAAAUGGGUUUUAAAUGCCAACUACGAUGUCCAAUUAUUAGGACAAAAAUAGGUUUUUAAUUAAAUAAAUUAAAUUUAGACUGCCACGUAGGACCGUCAUAAGGGAGGUAAGAGAGCUUAAUGAUAGAGUGACCAAUUCGUAACAGAACGAUAACAUUAGUGACUAAAACGUAACAUUUCAAACUUAAGUGACUAAAAUGUAAUCUGAAGCAAAUAAAAGUGACUGUUUUAAAGUUUACCCUUAAUGUAAUUAUUGGCGGAUGAUCUGGCCGCACCGACAAACAGCAGAAAUUGAGUCAUUUUCGUAAUUAUUUACAAAAUUUGGGUUACUUUUGUAAAAAAACCAGAGAAGAGAACCUCGCCUCUUCUUAAGAUAGCCGGACACUUUCUAACUUUCCCUUCUUUCAGUUUUUCAUCAACAGGUUUGCCUCUUACCAGAACAUCAAUGGAUGUUAGUGUAAAGAGAUGGAGCAUGAUACGCCCUGCCCAAGAUACUCCUAAAGAAAGGCAAUGGAUUUCAAAUCUGGACAUGGUGAUAACAACAUACCAUGUCCCUUUGCUGUUUUUCUACAAACCAAAUGGCUCCUCUGAUUUCUUUAAGCCUCAAGUGCUACAGGAGGCUUUAAGCAAGACUCUUGUGCAAUUCUAUCCUAUGGCUGGGAGGUUGGGACAUGAUGAAAAUGGUAGGCUCGAGAUAUUAUGCAACGCAGAGGGUGUUCUGUGGAUAGAAGCUGAAACUACAUCGGCCAUGGAUGAUCUCGACGGUUUUACUCCCUGCUCAAAACUGAGGAAACUGGUUCCCACGGCUGAUUACUCUGGAGAUAUCAGUUCUUAUCCGCUUAUUAUGGCUCAGGUAAGUGAAUGAAGAACUAUUAUCUUAUUGUAGAUGAUAACUGUUACUUGCAGUAGGAGACCAAGGAUAAGCUCUGAGAAAACUCAAACAGUCUGAUACUGAAGUUAUAGCACAAGAAAAACUAAGCUAUCAGCUAAGAAGUUGAUAUAUGGCUUUUUUUUCUCAAAACUGACUUAAAAGAAUCGAUUAAUUAUGAAAAUUACCCAGGUAUAAUAUCUUAUAUGAGAAUGACCCGUUUUCUACCGUAAAAAUUGGUACCGCUAGACUAUUUAGCGGUACCGAUAUUUUUGUAAAAGUAUUACCAUCAACAAAUUAUCGAUAUAUACUUUCCAUUCAUCUUCACAAGAAAGUGCUAAUUACGGAGGUCCAUGGUGGUGGCUUAGUAGUGAUGAAGAUGAAACCAAAACCCUUUUCUCUUCAAUGAACCUCUGGUUUGACUCAUUUGUAAUAAUUAUUUUCGCUCGUUGGAUACACCCGCAUUUUAAAUGGAAAACUGUAAUAAUCCUCACCGAAGAAAAGCAAAGAACAAGAUUAAUCAAAGCGAACAAUAUUGUUACAAAUGAGUUAGGAGAGAGGUUCAUUGAAGAGAAAAGGGUUUCGAUUUCAUCUUCUUCACUGCUAAGCCACUGCCAUGGAACUCUUAGACCUUUCUCAUGAAGCUAAACGAUACCAUCAACAAAGUAUAUCCUUUUUACAAAACUAACAUCGGUGCCAACAAUGAGUCCGGCAACAUUCAAAAAAUAUAUUUUUUUAAAAAACAUGGGGUGGUGCUUCAAUGGAAAUGGUGGCACCAAAUUUUAUGAUAGAAAAUGGGUUAUUCUCGUACAAAAUUUUACACUUGAGUCAUUUUUAUAAUUAAUAAAAAUUUUUGGUCAAUUUUGAAAAAAAAAACUUAAUGUUUUUGUUUCGAAAAGGUCAAUUGUUGAGUGUAUAUUUUGCUAGGUAACUACUCUUAAAUGCGGUGGAGUUUGUCUUGGAAUAGCAACUCAUCAUACUUUGACUGAUGGCACAACGACCUUACAUUUCAUUAAUAGUUGGUCUGAAAUGGCAAGAGGCUUGCCCCAAAUUAGCAUGCCACCACUUAUUGACCGAACCCUUCUCCGAGCAAGAGUGCCACCAAUCCCUAGAUUUCAUCAUCUCGAAUAUGACCGACCUCCUUCCUUAUACACCUCUACGUCACUUGGCCCUAAUAACCAUAAACCCUCAACUGUAUCUGUUUUCAAGAUCACACAAAAUCAACUUAAUACCCUAAAAGCCAAGUCAUGGGAACAUGGAAACAAAACCAAUUACAGCACCUACACCAUUCUAGUUGCAUACAUAUGGCGCUGUGCAACUAAAGCUUGGGACCUCUCAUAUGAUCAGCCAACCAAGUUACACAUCCCAACUGAUGGACGCCCCAGACUACAUCCUCCCCUCCCAUCAACGUACUUGGGCAACGCAAUGUUUGCGGCUUCAUUAAUUGCUCUAUCUAGAAAUCUGCAAUCAGAACCGUUUGUAAAUACCCUAGAACGAGUUCAUGGAACAUUGCAAAGGAUGAAUAAUGAGUAUCUAAGAUCAGCUCUUGACUACCUAGAAACACUGCCAGAUAUAACAGUUGCCAGGAGAACACCGGACACUUACCAUUGCCCAAACCUAAGUAUCAACAAAUGGACACGACUGUCUUUAUAUGAUGCAGAUUUUGGAUGGGGUCGACCAAUAUACAUGGGUCCAGCAAACAUUGUCCAUGAAGGAAAAAUAUACAUACUACCAAGUCCAACCAAUGAUGGGAGCUUGUCAUUGGUAGCAUGCCUACAGACUGCUCAUAUGAAACUCUUCGAGAAACAUCUAUACGAAGGCUUGAAGUCAUUUGACAAGAUCAAAGCUCGAUAUUAGUUGUUUGUUCUCUCUAACAAUAUAUGUAUAAACCUAUAAAUCUUCUACUUCUGUUUCUUUAACUAAGACUUUUUGUUUGGAUCCUGUUUAUUUGAAAUUUACCAUCUAAGCUGGCUUGGCGAACAGGUCUUUUAUUGGUAAUUAUUGUACUAUACCUCGAUAAUAGUAGUAUCAUUGAUCGCAAAGAAAUAAUAAAGAAAAAUAAGAAUACACAGAUUUUACGUGGAAAAGUCUUAUUAGGAAAAAAAAUCACGAGCAGAGUAAAAAUUCACUAAUGUUGAAAAAUACUAAUACAAGAAGUUUUUUUGACUACACAUUUUAACGGUUAAAUAACAUUUUUAUAAUCAACGUUUAAUAGAAGAUCGCCCCCACAUAUCCCCCAAAUUUGCAAUUCUAUUUUAUUUCUUUAACAAACAAGUUGCACCUCGAAUUUUUCUGAUUGGAUCAAACGGGGUUCAGAUCAAACAGCUCUAACAACAACUCAAAUUAUUUGUCCAUAACCAUAUUAAAACAAAUACCGAAUAAUUGAAAUAUAUUCAAAAUUUUAAAUUAAAUUAAGUUUGGAUCAAACUCACUGAUGAUAUAUGAUUUACCUAAAGUGAAAUAAGAACUCGAAAAUACAAAAUUUAUGGGUAAAUUUUCAUUUUGGUCACUUAAUUAAAAAAUUAUAAUUUGGUUAUUAAACUAUUCAAAAGUUUUAUUUUAAGUCAUUGGAUUGUUAAAAUUGAUAUUAUAUGACUUUCUUUGUUCACAGUGCAUGCAUCAAUUGAAAGCUCUCUUUUUCCUUCAUUUCUACAGCUCAUUUUCUAUUUUUAUGUAACAACUUUGGACGUCACAAAUUUGCAGACCAAAAUUCAAACAUUUUUUGCUCUGAUUUCCAACAUGGACCAUCAAAUCAAUGUAGAUCUAAAUUAUAUUUUUAUACUCAUUAAUGGGUACUGAUCCACCAUAUCGAUUGUUGAAUCCUUACUUGGAGCUCGUUAGUGGAACUUAAAAAACAACUUAAUAUAUAGCCUAGUGACUUAAAUGAAAAUUUUUGAAUUUAGUGGCCAAACCAAAAACUUUCCUAUAAUUUAAUGACUAAUGGUAUAGUUUACGCACUUCCUCUUGGCCCAAUUGAAGUUUUUGGUACUCCCACACACUAGUAAAAAAGUUUUAAUAGUAGAAAUGUAUGAAAUUUUUAAUAGAAAGUACCAUUUUACUUUUUGAUCUAUAUACAGAGAUUAAUUUGCCAAUUUUUUAAAUAAAUGGGGUAAAAUGUAAUUUGACUUUUAAUAUAAAAAUCUCCAUGGUAUGUUUACCUUGAAAUUAUCAAUAAAAACUAAUAAAUAUAAAAUGAAACAGUUAAUAAUAUAUCAAAUAUCCACGAGGUGAUAGGUGAUUUUAAAAUUUAACAUUUACAACUUAAUGGGCUAGUGACAAGGCCAAGCAAACCAUUAGUGGAUUGGUAACAAAUUUGGUAAUAUUUCAACGAUCCAAUUGUUUAAUAUAUCGAUAUAACUGUAUUUGGUAUGCAUGAAAAUUUUCGAACCGAUCCGAUAUUUCUGACAUAUUGAUCCAAAAUAUUGUAUAUAUUGAACUAUUAAAAGUUUUUAUAUAAAAUAAAUAGUUAGUUUUUUUUUUAAUUUACAUCAAAUUUGACAUGCAUAAUAUGACAAUUGAAUCAUUAAAAUAUGGGUAAACUACACCCAUGGUCACUUUUGUUUACCUUAGGUUACAUUUCAGUCACUUAUGUUUGAAAUGUUACAUUUUAGUCACUUACGUUAUCGUGUUGUAAUAUUUUAGUCACUGAGCCGUUAAUUGCCGUUAAUGGUGUAAUGGUAAGCUGACGUGGCACGUUAAAUCAUCAUUUCAAACAAAAACUUUAGGUUAAAUUAUACAAUUGGUCACCAUAAUUUUUCGUUUUGAGCAAUUUAAUUCUUUUAUGUUCUUUUAACUUUCUUUUUUUUUUCUUUUUUUCUUUUCUCUUCUGCUUCACCCUAUGUUUUUCUACCUUCUUUAUUUCUUUUAACAUACCAGGAAGUCGAAUUGGUAGUGAAGAAAGAAGCAUGAUAUGGGUUUAUGGGUUUUGGUUAUAGGGUUUUGGUUAUAGGCAAAUGAUGACAGUCGACUUCCUACUUCUUUUUUCAUUGCCAAUUCGACUUCCUAAUAUGUUAAAAGAAAUGGGAAAGGUAUGAAAACAGAGGGAGAAACAAAAGAGAAUGAAAAAGAGAGAGGAAAGUUUAAAGAACAUAAAAAAAAUUAAAUUACUAAAAACGAAAAAAAUAUGGGGAUCAAUUGUAUAAUUUAACCUAAAAUUUUGUUUGAAAUGAUGAUUUAACGUGCCACGUCAACUUACCGUUACACCAUUAACGACGAUUAAUGGCUCAGUGACUAAAAUGUUACAACUUGAUAACGUAAAUGACUAAAACGUAACCUAAAGUAAACAAAAGUGACCAUGAGUGUAGUUUACCCUUAAAAUAUUAAUCGUAUAAAAAAAUAAAAUACAUAUUUUAAAUUUAAUAUAAAAAUGUUUAAAAAACACUAAAAUAAAUUAAUAAAAUUCUCAAUGACUUUUGGGUUUAAAUCACAAUUAUCGAAACAGGACAAAUCGAAAAUUAAUUAAUGUAUAAAUUUGGAAUAAGAGGAUUAAUUAUCUCACAAAUUGGUUAAAUCAACCAAUCAGAUCAAUUUUUUUCAUUUUUAAAUUUUUUAAUAAUUUAUUUAAUUAAAUUAAUCAAAUCAAUCAAAUCGGAAUUAGAAUCUAAUUCUAAACACUUUGCUUUGUUAUGUCAAAGCCAUAUGUUUUUUUUACACCUUAUUUAUUCCGCAAAUUAUUGUCCGCACAUGUCAACUCUUUAUCAUCUUUUAAUGACGUGUAUGGUAUAGAUAGCCUAUCUGCAUUUUUUUUUAUUUGCCAAAUUCUUUUAUUAUUCCUUGUAUUAUAAUUAGUUUGUGAAUUUAAUCUCUAUAUUAAAAUAAAAUGUCAAUUUUAGUCCUUAUACUUUUUAGCAUUUAAAAUUUUAAUCCUCCACAAAGAGUAGUAAUUAAAUAUGUUUGUUAAUUUAUGUCGUUAAUCUUUUACACAGUAUAAAGUUAUUCCACGUUCUCUAAUUUGAUCAUUCAUAAUCCUUAUAUUUUUUGAAUUUUUAAAUUUUAACAAGCUGAUAUGAUAUUACAUAUAUGAUAAUAUUUUUGACGUAUAAGAUUUUGAAAAUAAUAAAACUACUUAAUGAAUUUAAUGGUUAUCGUUUAUAUCAAGAUUGAAAUUUCAAAAUUAGAAAAAUAUACGGACUAAAAUGAUUAAAUUAAAGUACAUAGACUAAAUUUAUAACUUGUCUAUUGCACAAGUACUAAUAGCAAGAUUUAACCUAUUUUUACAUUUAAAUAUGUAAAAGUAUCACCCAUCCACUGCCUUCCAAGAGAGAAGAUAAGCGUUUUUUUAGCAAUAAAAGAAAUAAUAAUUACCUGAUAAAUUAUUUUAUGGACAUUUUUCACGAUAUCUUCCAUGAUCCCGUCCUAUUAGAAGAUGACACAUCAUCUUUUUUUGACACAUCAUAUGUACAUUUAGACUAAACUCCCAAAUGAAAGAUGAAGUGUCUUGUUUUAAUUGGGAGGAACUAUGGAUGAUGGGGUGGAAAAUGUCUAUAAAAUAAUUUCUCAUUAUUACCUUGUCUUCGAACACAAAAACACAAGCAUUAGCAUACAGAUUUUGCCCAUCCGCUACCUCCCAAUAGACAAGAUAGGUUUUUUUUUAAUUAACUCAAUUUUUUUGAUUAAUUACGAAAAUAAUCAACUUAAAAAUUACAUACGUAAAUGAUUUGAUUUUUACAGUGUUUGUCGAUGCUUCCAGACACAUCGGCGGCACAAGUCUCAUCAUCGACCAAUAAUUGUAUUAUUUUAAAGAUUUUCAAUUCAUUCCCUAACAUAUUUAAAUUUAUAUAAAUUGAGAUAAUUUUUUGAAGGAUAUAUUUGGGUAAUUUAAAUAAGACUUUUAACUUUAUUGUUUCUAAAAAAAUAAAAAUAAUUUAUUUUUGUUAUUCUUAUAUUUUUAAGGGCUAUUUAAAUAUAAUUUUAAAAAUAUAUAUACUUAACACGCAAAUAAAUAAAAAAUUAACAAGCAUCAAAUUUGGUGCCGACAUGGUGCACUAAAAAGUUAUUAUUUUCUGGGUAAAUUACAGUAAUAGUCACUUUUAUUUACCUCAUUAUAUUUUAGUUAUUUAUGUUUGAAAUAUUACAUUUUAGUCACUUACGUUAUCAUUUUGUUAUUAAGUGGUCACUCCACCGUUAAACUUCGUUACCUCUCUAACGGUAGUCCUACGCGACAGUACAAAUGGGUUUUAAAUACCAACUACGAUGUUCAAUUGUUGGGACGAAAAUAGGUUUUUAAUUAAAUAAAUUUAAUUUAGACUGCCACGUAAGACCAUCAUUAGGGAGGUAAGAGAGCUUAAUGAUAGAGUAACCAAUUCGUAAUAAAAUGAUAACAUAAGUGACUAAAAUGUAAUAUUUUAAACUUAAGUGACUAAAAUAUAAUCUGAAGCAAAUAAAAGUGACUGAUUUAUAGUUUACCCUUAAUGUAAUUAUUGGCGGAUGAUCUGGCCGCACCGACAAACAGUAGAAAUUGAGUCAUUUUCGUAAUUAUUCACAAAAUUUGGGUUACUUUUAUAAAAACCCGAAAAGAGAACCUCGCCUUUGCUUAAGAUAGACGAGCACUUUCUGACCUUCCCUUCUGUUGGGUUUUCAUCAACAGGUUUGCCUCUUAAUUACCAGAACAUCAAUGGAUGUUAGUGUAAAGAGAUGGAGCAUGAUACGCCCUGCUCAAGAUACUCCUAAAGAAAGGCAAUGGAUUUCAAAUCUGGACGUGGUGAGGCCAACAUUCCAUGUCCCUUUGCUGUUUUUCUACAAACCAAAUGGCUCCUCUGACUUCUUCAAGCGUCAAGUGCUACAGGAGGCUUUAAGCAAGACUCUUGUGCAAUUCUAUCCUAUGGCUGGGAGGUUGGGACGUGAUGAAAAUGGUAGGCUCGAGAUAUUAUGCAACGCAGACGGUGUUCUGUGGAUAGAAGCUGAAACUACAUCGGCCAUGGAUGAUCUCGACGGUUUUACUCCCUGCUCAAAACUGAGGAAACUGGUUCCCACGGCUGAUUACUCUGGAGAUAUCAGUUCUUAUCCGCUUAUUAUGGCUCAGGUAAGUGAAUGAAGAACUAUUAUCUUAUUGUAGAUGAUAACUGUUACUUGCAGUAGGAGACCAAGGAUAGGUUCUGAGAAAACUCAAACAGCCUGAUACUGAAGUUAAAGCACAAGAAAAACUAAGCUAUCAGCUAAGAAGUUCAUAUAUACACGAGAAUGACCCGUUCUCUACCGUAAAAGUCGGUGCCGCUAGACUAAUUAGUGACACCAAUAUUUUUGUAAAAGUAUUACCAUCAACAAAGUAUCGAUACUUUCCGUUCAUCUUCACAAGAAAGUGCUAAUUAUGGAGGUCCACGGUGGUGGCUUAGUAGUGAAGAAGAUGAAACCAAAACCCUUUUCUCUUUAAUGGAUCUCUGGUUUGACUCAUUUGUAAUAAUCAUUUUCGUUCGUCGAAUACGACCGCAUUUUAAAUGGAAAACUGUAAUAAUGAUCCUCACUGAAGAAAAGCAAAGAACAAGAUUAAUCAAAGCGAACAAGAUUAUUACAAAUAGACCUGUACAUAGGCCGGGCCGGGUCGGGUUCGGGCUAGGCUCACAAAAAUUUCAGCCCGUUUACUAGGCCCGGGCCAGGCCCGGCCCGAAAUAUAGACAUGAGAUUUUGCCUAGGCCCGGCCCGAAGAAAAAAUAUGGGGCCCGAGCCCGGCCCGUUUUUAAUUAAAAUUAAAAUUAUUUUUUUAAUAAAAUUAAAAUUAAUUGCUAUUAAAAUUAAUUGUUAGUAAAAUUAUCAAAUUAUUAAUUGUUAAUUGUAUUAAUUGUUGUAAUAAAAUCUAACAUUUGAUUAGUAAAUUUAUCAAAUUAUUAAUUGUAUUAAUUGUUGUAACAAAAUCUAACAUUUGAUUAGUAAAACAAACUUGAUGUUUUAUUAUUAUUAUUUUGUAACACUAGUCAAGGAAAUGAAAGUAAAUAAACUUAAAAUAAAAAACUAUUACAUUUUAAAAAUAAAAAAUAUAUAUUUAAUAUUUUUCGGGCCGGGCCGGGCCGAGCCCGGGCCAAAAAAUCUUGCCCGAGGCCUGGCCCAUUUUUUAAACGAGCCUAAAAUUUUGCCCAAUCCCAUAUUUCGGGCAUAUAUUUUACCCAAACCCUCCCAUAUUUUGGGCGGGCCGUCGGGCCGGGCCGGGCCGCCCGGCCCAUGGACAGGUCUAAUUACAAAUGAGCCGGGCGAGAGGUUAAUUGAAGAGAAAAUGGUUUCAAUUUCAUCUUCUUAACUGCUAAGCCACCACCAUGGAACCCUUAGCACUUUUUCGUGAAGCUAAAUGAUACCAUCAACAAAGUAUUGAUCCUUUUUACAAAACUGGCAUUGGUGCCACCAAUGAGUCCGGCGACAUUCAAAACAAAUAUAUUUUUAAAAAACAUGGGGUGGUGCCUUCAAUGGGAAUGAUGGCACCAAAUUUUAUGAUAGAAAAUGGGUUAUUCUUGUACAAGAUUUUACACUUAGUCAUUUUUUAUAAUUAAUCAAUCUUUUUUGGUCAAUUUAAAAAAAAAACCUUAAUAUUUUUGUUUCAAAAAGGUCAAUUAUUGAGUGUAUAUUUUGCUAGGUAACUACUCUUAAAUGCGGUGGAGUCUGUCUUGGAAUAGCUACUCAUUGUACUUUGGCUGAUGGCACAACGACCUUUCAUUUCAUUAAUAGUUGGUCUGAAAUGGCAAGAGGCCUGCCCCAAAUUAGCAUGCCACCACUUAUUAACCGAACCCUUCUCCAAGCAAGAGUGCCACCAAUCCCUAAAUUUCAUCAUCUCGAAUGUGACCUACCUCCUUCUUUAAACACCUCUACGUCACUUGGCCCUAAUAACCAUAAACCCUCAACUAUAUCUAUUUUCAAGAUCACACAAAAUCAACUUAAUACCCUAAAAGCCAAGUCAUGGGAACAUGGAAACAAAACCAAUUACAGCACCUACACCAUUCUAGCUGCAUACAUAUGGCGCUGUGCAACUAAAGCUCGGGGCCUCUCAUAUGACCAGCCAACCAAGUUAAACAUGCCAAUUAAUGGACGUCCUAGACUACAUCCUCCCCUCCCAUCAACGUACGUGGGUAAUGCAGUGUUUGCGGCUUCAUUAAUUGCUCUAUCUUGAAAUCUGCAAUCAGAACCGUUUGUAAAUACCCUAGAACGAGUUCAUGGAACAUUGAAAAGGAUGAAUAAUGAGUAUCUAAGAUCAGCUCUUGACUACCUAGAAACACUGCCAGAUAUAACAGCUGCCACGAUAAAACCAGGCACUUACCAGUGCCCAAACCUAAAUAUCAACAAAUGGACACGAUUGUCUAUAUAUGAUGCAGAUUUUGGAUGGGGUCGACCAAUAUACAUGGGUUUAGCAAACGUUGUCGAGGAAGGAAAAAUAUUCAUACUACCAAGUCCAACCGAUGAUGGGAGCUUGUCACUGGUAGCAUGCCUACAGAUUGCUCAUAUGAAACUCUUCGAGAAACAUUUAUACGAAGGCUUGAAGUCAUUUAACAAGAUCAAAGCUCGAUAUUAGUUGUUUGUUCUCUCUAUCAAUAUAUGUAUAAACCUAUAAAUCUUCUACUUCUGUUUCUUUAACUAAGACUUUUUGUUUGGAUCCUGUUUAUUUGAAAUUUACCAUCUAAGCUGGCAUGGCGGACAAGUCUUUUAGGCAGAAUAGAAAUUCACUAAUGUUGAAAAACAACAAUGCAAGAGGUUUUUUUGACUACACAGUUUUAACGGUUAAAUAACAUUUUUAUAAUCAAUGUCUAAUAGAAGAUGGCCCCCACGUAUCCCCAUAUUUGCAAUUCUAUUUAUUUCUUUAACAAAUAAGUUGCACCUCAAAUUUUUCUGACUGCAUCAAACGGGAUUUAGAUAAAACAACUCUGACAGCACCUCAGAUUAUUUGUCCAUAACCAUAUUAAAACAAAUACUGAAUAAUUGAAAUAUAUUCAAAAUUUUAAAUUAAAUUAAGUGUGGAUCAAACUCACUGAUGAUAUAUGAUUUACCUAAAGUGAAAUAAGAAUUCGAAAAUACAAAAUUUAUGGGUAAAUUUUCGUUUUGGUCACUUAAUUAAAAAAUUAUAUAUAAUUUGGUUAUUGAACUAUUCAAAAGUUUUCUUUUAAGUCAUUGCAUUGUUAAAAUUGAUGUCAUAUGUCUUUCUCUAAUCACAAUGCAUACAUCAAUUGAAAGCUCUCUUUUUCCUUCACUUCCACAGUUCAUUUUCUAUUUUUAUAUAACAACUUUAGACAUCACAAAUCUGUAAGCUAAAAUUCAAAUACUUUUUGCUCUGAUUUUCAACAUUGACUAUCAAAUCAAUUUAGAUCUAAGGUAUAUUUUUUUACUUAUUAAUGGGUACCGGUCCAUCAUAUCGAUUAUUGAAUCCUUAUUUGGAGCUUGUUAGUGGAACUUAAAAAACAACUUAAAAAACCAAAAACUUUCCCAUAAUUUAAUGACUAAUGGUGUAGUUUACGCAGUUCCUCUUGGCCCAAUUGAAGUUUUUGGUACUCCCACACACUAGUAAAAAAGUUUCAAUAGUAAAUAUAUAUGAAAUUUUUAAUAGAAAGUACCAUUUUACUUUUUGAUCUAUAUAGAGAGACUAAUUUGUCAAUUCUUUAAAUAAAUGGGGCAAAAUGCAAUUUGACUUUUAAUAUAAAAAUCUCCAUGGUAUGUUUACCUUGAAAUUAUCAAUAAAAACUAAUAAGUAUAAAAUGAAAAGGUGAUAAGUUCUUUUAAAAUUUAACAUUUACAACUUAAUGGGCUAGUGACACAGCCAAGCAAGCCAUUAGUGGAUUGGUAACAAAUUUGGUAAUAUUUCAAAGAUCCAAUUGUUAAAUAUAUCAAUACAAUUGUAUUUGAUAUGUGUUGACACCAUUUUUUUUUGAUGAAACGGGGUUGACUUGGGUUUUUUUAAAAAUGAAAACGAAAGUGGAAGUCGCCACCGAUCUUUUAAUUAGUUGUGAUCGGAUCACCUUGAAAACGACGAUUUUGGCCCACGAAAUUCAGAAAAAUGGGUUCGGGAGUCAGUUACGUACAAGGAAGGAUUAGCACCAUUGUAACGCCCAAAAAUUGGUACCUAGUUGAUUAAUUAAUAUCUUAGUGUCGAAAGCUUGAAAACUUUGAAGAUAUUUAAAAUACGAUCUUUUAUUGAAAUACGAAAACUAUUUGAAAAGAAAAAGGGCAUACUUCACAUUGAUCGAGAAAAAUAAUUUCAUCCCGUAAGUUAGGACACAAUGCUUUAAAUUCUCGAUGCGCGAAUGAAUGCCAAGAUUUAUUUAUUUUGAAAGGUAUUUGGUUAUCCCGGUUUUAGGAAAGAGACCAUGUCCCAUGAGUUAGAACACGACUUUUCGUUAAUUCCCGAGGACAUUUAAACACUUUGUUGGAGAUGAUUUGCGUAUUUAGAUUUAUCGAGAAAAUCAAAACCCCGUAAGUUAGGGUACGACGUUUCCGAAUCUCAAAACAUGAAAUGCUACUCGUUUUAAAACUACAAUUUAUGAAUCGGAUAAAAUUAAUUUAACACGGAAUGAUAAAAAGACACUAUGUUAAUAUGUAUUGUGAAAUAUAUAUAAAAAAACAUAUGUAUAUGAAUUAUAAAAUAUAGAAAAUACGUAAGAAAAAUAUGGAUUUUGAAAUAUAAAAAAUAUGUAUAAGUAUGUGUAUAUAUAAAUAAAUAAAAAACACGUAUGUGUAUAUAUAAAUUAUGAAAUACAACAAUAUAAAAGUAUAAAUAUGUACGUAUAUAUAAAUAAAAAAUAGAUAUAUAUAUAUAUUAUAAAGCAUAAACAAAAGUAUGUGUAUAUAUAUAAAUACGCAUGUGGAUACAUAUAUAUUACAUGAAGAUAAAAGAUAUAAGUAUGUAUAUUAUAAAAUAAAACAAUGUAAGUAUGUACAUAUAUAUAUAUAUGCAUAUAAAAAAAUAUAUAUAAUAAAACUUGAAGUUUAAAAGUACAAGUGCAUGAAUAAUAAUAAUAGAUUAAUAACAUAUAUAAUAAUGGUAAUAACAUUAAAAUAAUCAAUUAAAUAAAUUAACUAAAACAUGGACUAAAUUAAAUUUAAAACAAAACAAAAAGGGGCGAAAUCAAAAAUAAAUGAAAGAGGAGGGACUAAUUUGAAUACGAGAAUAUCAAGGAAGGACCAAAAUAUUAAAUAUCCCGGUCCAUUCUAUACGUAGCGUUUCAAUAAGGACCGAAUUGAAAACACAAAGAAAAAUGUGGUGAAAUUGCAAAAAUGAAAGAUAUUCAAUUGAAAACGCCAAAAAAAGCAGAAGGACUAGGGUAGUAAUUAAACCCUAGUCACAAAACACGCAGAUCCUCCUAGGGGUGAGCAAAACUCGAUUCGACUCGAAAAAAUCGAAAAAAAAUUCGAAUUUCGAGUUAAACGAAUCGAAUUAUUCGAGUUAAUCGAGUUAUUCGAAUCAACUCGAAUUUUUUUUUCGAAUUUCGAGUUCGAAUCGAGUUGAGUUUUCGAAUUCGAAUAACUCGAAUAAUUCGAAUAAUUCGAAUAUCAAACUAUAAUAUUUUAUAUUUUUACCCCAAACUCUCAAACCUUUUUACUUUUCCCUCAAAACUUUUACUCCUUCCCACUUUCCCCCCAAAACUUUUACUCCCCUCCCCUCCCAACCCCCAAUCUACCCAAAAUCUAUUUCCCACCAAAAUUUUACUCUCCCAUUUAUUUUUUCUCAAAAUUUUACUCCCAAAAACCCUUAAAACCUUUUAUUUUCCCCCAAAAUUUUUAUUCCCUCCCACUUUUCCCUUAAAACUUUUAUUCCCUUCCCAUCCCACCUCCCAUCUAUCCCAAACCCUCCCCCCUCCAAUUUUUUUUUUAAUAUUUUCCCUCCAAAAUUUUACUCUCCCUAUUUACUUUCCCUCAAACUUUUAUUCCCCAAAACUUUUACUUCUCACAUUUUACUCUCAAAUAAAAAAUCAAAAUUAUCCAAAAAAAUUACUAAACAUAAAUAAUAAUAAUUUUAUUUAUAUCUACUAUUUAUAUUAUUAAAUUAAAUUUCACAUUUUAUAUUAUUUUUAUUAUUGAAUUGUUUAGUCAUAUUGAAUAUUUAUAUUAAAUUUGAAUUAUUAAUUAUGCCAUAAAAUAUUCGUGUUAAAAUUUUAUAUUGGUAUCAAUUUCACAUUUUAUUUUUAAAAUAAUUUUUAUUAAAAAAUCAUAUUUUUACAUUUAAUAUAUUUUUUAAUUCUAAAAUACAUAGUGACAAGAAUCUGAAGAUAAUUGAAACAACUAAGCAAGCAAAGAAGCUAACCAGUAUAUAAAAAAUUAAUAAAUAAAUUAUGAAGUGAUGAAAGUUAAUAAAAAAUUUGAUUAAGGUGGACAAAUUUUAUUACGAUGGGUGACAAUGGUUACAAGGACCCAAAAUUAUUUUUUAAAAUUUAACUCGAACAAAUAAUUCGAUUCGAUUCGAUUCGAAUUCCAUCUCACUCGACUCGAUUCGAGAAAACUUCAAAUAAAGUUAGGAUGAUAAAAUGAGAUUCGAAAACUCGAUUAACUCAAAAAAUUUCGAUUUGAUUCGAUUCGAUUCGAUCGAAUGCUCACCCCUAGAUCCUCCUGGUAAAUGGGUCGGGUCGCGCACGGGUCGUGCAAAGCACCGCUGCUUUAGCGCUAAAAACCCCUGAACUAAACGGCGCCGUUUUGUGAUAGUAUAAAAACUAAAUUUUUUUUGAAGAACCCUCAUUUCUCCUCUUAUUUCAGAAAAAACAAACAGAGAGAGAUUCUCUCUCAGCCUCCCCCUAGACCAGCCUAGGUCUCUAGUUGAGAGCCCCGGCGCACCUCCGCCGUAGCUCAGUCGUGAGCGGCGGACGGAAGUGCAAAGGUCGGCCUUUUUUACUCCCGUUUGGAGCUCAUCUCUCUCAUAACCCAGAUUCGAGGCAGAAUCCUUCGAAAGGUGGCCACGAACCUUGGAAACGGAGGGAAACCGUUCGGGUUCCCUUCUUCCGACGCAACACAGGUAAGGGUUUUUUAUUUUUUAUAUUUUAUUAAUAUUUAAAAAAUAAUUAAAGAAGAAGAAACAGAAUGCCAAAAUAAAAUGAAAAUGGGGAAAAAAAACCUUUUGAAACUGUUUUCCUAUUAUUCUUCUUUCAAAAAAUUCCUUUUUUAUACAAUAUCCCCCCUAAUACAGUGAUCAAGUUCGGCCCCCCUUUUUUAUUUUUACCCUCCCUUUGGCUUUAUAGCCGAAAGAAAAAAAAAAGAACCGAAAAGAGAAGAAGAAAAAUCAAUCUUGCUUGCCGCUGUCCUGUUGUUCUUUAUUGUGUAUUUGCAGGUACAACUGGAGGGCGGUGCUGGACUAUGGCAGGGCAAGUGGCCGAUGGGACGUGCAGCGCUAGGCAAAGAUGGCAAAGGUGCGGCAUUAGGGUUUUAGCCUUUUUGAAACCCUAGUUUGACUUCUGUUGGGCUAGAUUCAUUUUGGGCUAAAUUGGGUUUGGGUAUUUUAGGUAUUGGGCUUGUGGGUGGUUGGGUUUAAAUUGGGUCUGUUGUAAAUUUGAAUUGGGUUGAUAUGGUGGUAAUGGGCCCUUUGUAAUUUUUGGGUUUGCUUGGGCAAAAUUGGGCUAUAUAAUAUGCAUUUAAAUUUUUGAACUGAUCCGAUAUUUCAACUAUAUUGAUCUAAAAUAUUGUAUAUAUUGGACUAUUAAAAGUUUUUUUAUAUAAAAUAUUGUAUAUGUUGAUCUAAAAUAUUGCAUAAUCUAUUUGAACAGAAUAAAUAUGAAAAUUGAAUCAGUAAAAUAUUAAUCGUAUAAAAAAAUAAAAAACAUAUUUUAAAUUUAAUAUAAAAUUUUUAAAAAACACUAAAAUAAAUUAAUAAAAUUCUCAAUGACUUUUGGGUUUAAAUCAAAAUUAUCAAAACUAGAUUAGAUCAAAUCGAAAAUGUAAUAGCCCGAAAUAGGGCUUAAUCGGAAUAGUGGUUUCGUAACCACAAAUCCGAAGUGAAAUAGUUUAAUUUUAUAAAUUUUUAUUAAUUACUAAUUUAUUGAAAGAUUGUGUGAAAAUAUGGAUAGGAAAUUUUAAUGAUUUAGUGCCUAAUUGAAUUUUUAGGACUAAAUUGAGAAAAAUGCAUAGUGUGUCUAAUUAGUGAUUAAAUGAUUUAAUUGAAUUAUUGUAUGAAAUAGGAAGUGUUUAUGUGGCAAUUAGACCAUAAAUUAGUGUUAUGGACAUAAAAGGGUAAUUCUAGAAAAAUAUCUAAGUAAUGGGUCAAGGGCAUUUUUGUCCAAAUUGAAUAAAAGACAAAAUAAAGAUGAAAACAAGUGUUCAUCUUCUUAAAAAGUUGAAGCUUGCUGCCGAAAAUUUCAUGUUACCAUAGCUAGGGUUUUUGAUUUUUCUAAGCUCAAUUGUAAGUGAUUUCUUGCCCCGUUUUUAAUUAUUUUCGUAUUUUUAUGCUUAUUGAAGCUUGAAUUUCAUGUUUCUACCAUUUAAUUUAAAUGAAAUUAAAGUUUAAAAAUUGACCCAUUCAUGAUAUAAUUGUAAAUUGAUUAGUGAUGUUAGAUAAUUAAUGUUUGAAGUGUUAAUUACAAGUUUUACUAGAUGAAUUUUGGUGAAAAUGUUGAAAAAGGACUAAAUUGUGAAGGAUGGUAAAGUGUGCAUAAAGUUGUGAUUUUGUGAAGUUGAGGGCUGUUAUGAGCAUGAAAUAUGAUUUAGUGAAGUUUGAAAUUUAAGAAUUUAGUGAAUUUUAUUUUUACGAGUUUUGAGACAAAAGUGGAAUUUUUGAAAAGUUAUGGGGAAAAAAAUAUAAGUUUGCCAAAAUAUUGUGUAUGAAUUGUAUUUGAAUGGAAUAUUGAUAAAAUGCAUUAAAUUGUGUUAAUAUAGAUCAAGAAAGAGAAAUAGUGGAAGUGAUCGAGGGAAAGAGAAAGUUAUCGACUAAAUCACAAAAAUAGUCGUUUUGCAUCCGAGGUAAGUUAUAUGUAAACAAUAGUAAUAUAUUUUUAUAAAUUGUGAAUUUUAUUGAUAUGUGAAUCAAUAUUGAAUGUGGAAGAAAAAUUAUUCAUGAAUUAUUCAAGUGAUAAAGUGUUGAAAAUAGAGUAUUAAGUGUAAAUUUCCGGUUAAACUUAGGAAUAGAAGUAGAUACAAGUGACAUGUCACUAGAGAUCAGUGUUACAGUGUUACAGUGUUACAGUGAGUCCCGGGUGCUGGGUGAUCUAGCAUGUGUUGCAGACACCUGACAGCUUGUGUGAGCAGGCCCGUGGACAUUUUCAGUGUUAUUGAUCAGUGGUAGCUUCGGCUACAUUUUAGUGGUAGCUUCGGCUACAUAUCAGUGUGGCACUUAUGUGCUAAAUCUCUACAUAUCUGUGUAUAUUCCGAGUGUUCAACGGGAUUAAUAAUGAAUUAAAGUAAAUAUGAAAUGAAGUGUGUAUGCAUGUACUUUUAAAAGAAUGAGUAUAUGUGAUAAAUGCUAAGUGUAUAAGUGCAUGUGCAAGUGAAAUGGGUAAGAUUAUGCAUGUGUAAGUGAUUGAAAUUGCUAAGAAAAAAAUUUGAUUAAUUAUACGAGAGAAAUGUCAAUUAUUUAAAUGAGUACUUAUUGUUUACAUGUGACUUACUAAGCUAUUUUUAGCUUACACGUUUUCUCCUUUCUUUGUUUUAUAGUGACUUGAGCUUGUUUGAAUCGGGGAUCGUCGGAGCUCGUAUCAUACUAUCAUAAUCAUCUCGGUAUUAUUUGUUUUUCAAAAUGUUUAAAACUAUGGCAUGUAUAGAGUCUUAAUCAUUUUGAGUAUGUUCAUAUGAUAUGGCUAAGAUUAGCUAUUGAAAUGGUUAGGGAAGAUUAUGUUUUGGUAUUAUGUAUGUGUAAAUGGUAGCUAAUACAAAGAAGCAGUUUCUUUAACAGCAGCAGUGACGUGAAUGUGAAAAAUCACCAUAAAUAUUAGAAAUGAAAUUAGGGAUUUAAUUAUAUAUAGAAUUAAAGCUUAUCGAGUCUAUUUUUAUGUGAAAGAAAUGGUGUAGGCAAAGGAAUUUUAUAUUUUGAGAUAUUUGAAUUUUAGUGAGACAAGGUCAGAAUGAUUUUUAAAGUCCCCUGUUCUGACUUUAAAAAAUCAUUAUAAAUUGUACAGAAAUAAUUAAUGGUCAUAAUUUAUAUUUCUAGAUUUCUUAAUGAGUCUAUUUUCAAAAGAAACAAACGAUAACCUUAUAUGAAUUCUGUACAAUGAGAUAAUUGAUUUUUAGUGCCAAGAGGUCAGAUCUGUCGAGCUGUGAAACAGGGUAUACUUUAAUAAAUAAACUGUACUAAUUGGCUAAGUUAAAAAUUCUGAAAAUUUUAUGGUAAGUAGGGAUAUGAGUCUAGUUUCAGGAAAAAAUUACAGAUUUAAAUUUUGAAUCUUGUAACUCGAGUUAUAAUUAAAUUAGUGACAGUCACGCAGGUGGAUAGUUUUAUUGUGAACAGUGAAUUUAAUUUUAAAAGUAAAUUUUUAUGCUCCAAAUUGGUAAGUUAAAUUGGAUGACAUCUCGUACUCGAUUCCGGCGACAGCCUCGGAUAAGGGGUGUUACAGAAAAUUAAUUAAGGUAUCAGUUUGAAAUAAGAGGAUUAAUUAUCUCACAAAUUGGUUGAAUCGACCAAUCAAAUAAUUUUUUAAUUUUUAAAAUUUUUAAUAAUUUAUUUAAUUAAUUUAAUCAAAUCACUCAAAUCGGAAUUAGAAUCUAAUUCUAAACACUUUGCUACUUAUUGUUAUGUCAAAGCCACGUGUUUUUUUUACACCUAAUUUCUUCUGCCAAUUAUUGUCCGCACGUGUCAACUCUUUAUCAUCUUUUAAUGACUUGUACGGUAUAGAUAGCAUGCCUUCAAUUUUUUUACUUGCCAAAUUAUGUUAUUAGUCCUUGUAUUGUAUGUAGUUUGCGAAUUUAAUCUCUAUAUUAAAAAAAUAGUCAAUUUUAGUCCUUAUACUUUUUAGCAUUUAAAAUUUUAAUCCUCCACAAAAAGUAGUAAUUAAAUAUGUUGGAUAACUUAUGUCGCUAAUCUUGUAAACAGUAUAAAGUUAUUCUACGUUCUCCAAUUUGAUCAUUCAUAAUCCUUAUAUUUUUUGAAUUUUUAAAAUUUAACAAGCUGAUAUAAUAUUACAUAUAUAAAUAAUAUUUUGACGUAUAAGAUUUUAAAAAUAAUAAAACUUAAUGAAUUUAAUGGUUAUCGUUUAGAUCAAGAUUGGAAUUUCAAAUUUAGAAAAAUAUACGGACUAAAAUGAUUAAAUUAAAGUGCAUGGACUGAAUUUACAACUUGCCCAUUGCACAAGUAUUAAUAGCAAGAUUUAACCUAUUUUUACAUUUAAACAUGUAAAAAUAUCACCCAUCCACUGCCUCCCAACAGAGAAGAUAGGCUUUUUUUGAAAUAAUAAUUAUCUGAUAAAUUAUUUUGUGGACAUUUUUUACGAUAUUAUCCAUGAUUUUGUCAGUUAGAAGAUGACAUGUCAUCUUUUUUUUUCCGUAUCAUAUGUACAUUUAGACUAAAUUUUCAAAUCAAAGAUGACGUGUCUUAUUUUAAUUAGGAGGAACUAUGGAUGAUGGAGUGGAAAGUGUCCAUAAAAUGAUUUAACAUUAUUACAUUGUCUUCGAACACAAAAACACAAGCAUUAGCAAACAGAUUUCGCCCAUCCGCUACCUCCCAAUAGAGAAGAUAGGUUUUUUUUUAAGUAACUCAAUUUUUUUGAUUAAUUAUGAAAAUAAUCAACUUAAAAAUUAUAUACGUAAAUGAUUUGAUUUUUAUAGUGCUUGUCGAUGCUUCCAAACACACCCGCAGCACCGGCCCAUCAUCAACCAAUAAUUUUAUUAUUUUAAACAUUUUCAAUUCAUUCCCUAGUAUAUUUAAAUUUAGAUAAAUUGAGAUAAAUUUUUGAAAGAAUAUUUGAGUAAUUUAAAUAAGACUUUUAACUUUAUUGAUUUCAAAUCUGGAAGUGGUGGUGGCAACAUCCAUGUCCCUUUGCUGUUUUUCUACAAACCAAAUGGCUCCUCUGACUUCUGCAAGCCUCAAGUGCUACAGGAGGCUUUAAGCAAGACUCUUGUGCAAUUCUAUCCUAUGGCUGGGAGGUUGGGACGUGAUGAAAAUGGUAGGCUCGAGAUGUUAUGCAACGCAGAGGGUGUUCUGUGGAUAGAAGCUGAAACUACAUCGGCCAUGGAUGAUCUUGACGGGUUUACUCCCUGCUCAAAACUGAGGAAACUGGUUCCCACGGCUGAUUACUCAGGAGAUAUCAGUUCUUGUCCGCUUAUUAUGGCUCAGGUAAGUGAAUGGAGAACUAUUAUCUUAUUAUAGAUGAUAACAGUAACUUGCAGUAGGAGACCAUGGAUAAGCUCUGAGAAAACUCAAACAGCCUGAUACUGAAGUUAAAGCACAAGAAAAACUAAGCUAUCAGCUAAGAAGUUGAUAUAUAUACACGAGAAUGACCCGUUUUCUACCUUAAAAGUCGGUGGCGCUAGACUAAUUAGCGACACCGAUAUUUUUGUAGAAGUAUUACCAUCAACAAAGUAUCAAUACUUUCCGUUCAUCUUCACUAGAAAGUGCUAAUUACGGAGGUCCAUAGUAGUGGCUUAGUAGUGAAGAAGAUGAAACCUGUAAUAAUCCUCACCGAAAAAAAAGAAAGAACAAGAUUAAUCAAAGCGAACAAGAUUAUUACAAAUGAGUCAGGCGAGAUGUUCAUUGAAGAAAAGGGUUUCGGUUUCAUCUUCUUCACUGCUAAGCCACCACCAUCGAACUCUUAGCACUUUCUCGUGAAGCUAAAUGAUACUAUCAACAAAGUAUUAAUCCUUUUUACAAAACUGACAUCGGUACCACCAACGAGUCCGGCGAUAUUAAAAAAAUAUAUUUUUAAAAAACAAUGGAUGGUGCCUUCAAUGGAAAUGGUGGCACCAAAUUUUAUGAUAGAAAAUAGAUUAUUCUCGUAUAAAAUUUUACACUUGAGUAAUUUUAUAAUUAAUCAAUUUUUUUGGUCAAUUUUGAAAAAAAAAUUAAUAUUUUUAUUUCAAAAAGUCAAUUGUUGAGUAUAUAUUUUGCUAGGUACUACUCUUAAAUGCGGUGGAGUCAGUCUUGGAAUAGCAACUCACCAUACUUUGACUGAUGGCACAACGGACUUUCAUUUCAUUAAUAGUUGGUCUGAAAUGGCAAGAGGUUUGCCCCAAAUUAGUAUGCCACCACUUAUUGAUCGAACCCUUCUCCGAGCAAGAGUGCCACCAAUCCCUAGAUUUCAUCAUCUCGAAAAUGACCCAUCUCCUUCUUUAAACUCCUCUACGUCACUUGGCCCUAAUAACCAUAAACCCUCAACUUCAAGAUCACACAAAAUCAACUUAAUACCCUAAAAGCCAAGUCAUGGGAACAUGGAAACAAAACCAAUUACAGCACCUACACCAUUCUAGCUGCAUACAUAUGGCGCUGUGCAACUAAAGCU
rnacentral:lncRNA from 1 species